AAAAUGACUCUCGGCAACGGAUAUCUCGGCUCUCACAUCGAUGAAGAACGUAGCGAAAUGCGAUACUUGGUGUGAAUUGCAGAAUCCCGUGAACCAUCGAGUCUUUGAACGCAAGUUGCGCCCGAAGCCAUCAGGCCAAGGGCACGUCUGCCUGGGUAUCAAGC
rnacentral:rRNA from 1 species